UACGUAGGAGGCAAGCGUUGUCCGGAAUUACUGGGUGUAAAGCGCGUGUAGGCGGCAGAUUAAGUCUGUGGUGAAAUCGCUCGGCUCAACUGGGCGGGGUCCAUGGAAACUAGUCAGCUGGAGGACGGUAGAGGUGAGUGGAAUUCCCGGUGUAGUGGUGAAAUGCGUAGAGAUCGGGAAGGAACACCCGGUGGCGAAGGGCGGUCUCA
rnacentral:rRNA from 1 species